AUUGAACGCUGGCGGCAUGCUUUACACAUGCAAGUCGAACGGUAACAGGGAGCUUGCUCCGCUGACGAGUGGCGAACGGGUGAGUAAUGCAUCGGAACGUACCCAGUCGUGGGGGAUAACGUAGCGAAAGUUACGCUAAUACCGCAUACGUCCUGAGGGAGAAAGCGGGGGGACCGUAAGGCCUCGCGCGAUUGGAGCGGCCGAUGUCGGAUUAGCUAGUUGGUAGGGUAAAGGCCUACCAAGGCGACGAUCCGUAGCGGGUCUGAGAGGAUGAUCCGCCACACUGGGACUGAGACACGGCCCAGACUCCUACGGGAGGCAGCAGUGGGGAAUUUUGGACAAUGGGCGAAAGCCUGAUCCAGCCAUGCCGCGUGAGUGAAGAAGG
rnacentral:rRNA from 1 species